rnacentral:rRNA from 1 species
CCCUUAGAUGUUCUGGGCCGCACGCGCGCUACACUGAUGCAUUCAACGAGCCUAUCCUUGACCGACAGGUCCGGGUAAUCUUUGAAUCUGCAUCGUGACGGGGAUAGAUUAUUGCAAUUAUUAAUCUUCAACGAGGAAUGCCUAGUAGGCGCAAGUCAUCAGCUUGCGUCGAUUACGCCCCUGCCCUUUGUACACACCGCCCGUCGCUCCUACCGAUUGGGUGUGCUGGUGAAAUGUUCGGAUCGGCCGUUUGUCGCGGUUUCCGCGUCAUGUGGCUGAGAAGUUCAUUAAACCCUCCCACCUAGAGGAAGGAGAAGUCGUAACA